rnacentral:rRNA from 1 species
UAACAAUGGCUUUAGUGGCGGACUGGUGAGUAACGCGUAAGCAAUCUGCCUAUUAGAGGGGAAUAACAGUGAGAAAUCACUGCUAAUACCGCAUAUGCCAUAGUUAUCACAUGAUAAUAGUGGGAAAGGAGUAAUCCGCUAAUAGAUGAGCUUGCGUCUGAUUAGCUAGUUGGUGGGGUAACGGCCUACCAAGGCGACGAUCAGUAGCCGGACUGAGAGGUUGAACGGCCACAUUGGGACUGAGAUACGGCCCAGACUCC